rnacentral:tRNA from 1 species
GGUGGGUUGGCUCAGUGGUUAGAGCGUAGAGUCGUAACCGAAAGGUUGCGGGAUCGAAUCCCGCUAGAGGCUG